UCUGAAAAUACAAGGGUACAGAUUUCAAAUGCAUGGUGGUUGGAACAUUAAGUCCUACAAAAUGAUCUUAGGGAUUUGAUAUUAAUUUCUAUUAGAAAUGCCUUUCCAAGGGGAACCAGGAUUACAUCUCUGGGUUCUGAUACUUUGUGUCUGUGGGGCUCUGAGCUCGAUCCUGGGCACCAACAAAACAACACAGAACAGAGACCAACAAGGAACACUAAAUUGCUUUAAAAUUGCUCUUUUUUUCCCGAUACAUUCAUCAGAAGCAAUUAUUUUCCAACUAUGACUAACAAAGUGUUUUUCUCUUCCCUUCCUUUUAUAACCAACAUAUUAGAAAGUAGAUAAAAAACAUAAAUCUGGGCACUUUUUUUUUCUACCUAUUUCUCCCUUCUCCAAAGGAAAUAAGGAGAAUUUUCUAAUUCAAUUCUGUCACAGAGAAAGCUGGUUUCUGAGAAGUAAAUCGGAAAAACACUGUUACAUAACUAUUUGGAGGAGUAUUUUGAGGUUAUAAACCAUAUGUUUAAUGAGUUUUAUAUGUAAAAUACUCAUAAACUUUUAAAUUUGUUUCAACGAUUAUAUAGCUGUUUGGUUUAGUUGCUAAUUUGUAACUACUGUGUGCUCCAUUUCCUGACUGCCAAAAUGUAUCAUCCUCCCAACAUUUCAAGUGAACCUUGUACCAUUGUGGGGAUCUCAGCCUCCACAGCCUUGGCCCUUCCCCCCUCCCUGCUAUAAUCAAUAUUAAAAGCUGCAAAGCCCCUUCCUGUGCUCUAAUUUAUUUCUGUUGGAGCCUGUGAUCAGCAGUCCACUUCCCUCUGAACUUCAAGCUCUGUAGUGGUCUGCACCCAGGAAGCCAACCUUCCCAGGAGGAAAGAUGGGCUAAUCAAUCUUUUGAAAUCAGUAACAACAACAAAAACAAUGCUAUGUCCCAUGUGGAAGAGAACACAAGCUCAAUGUGAGUCACAUGGCUAUAGAACCGGACACUACUCAAAAUGCUCCUGCAAUGAUCCAAGCCACUGGGCUCUCAUCACUCACUACUUUUUCAGAAAGAGGCAGCCAAUGAGGGCAGAGCUGAGCUGCUAUUGAAAGCAUCAGUCUACGUGCAGUGAGAUCACACACGAUGGACGGGAUUAAUUCAGUUUUUAUGGAAGUGAUGUUUGGGGUGGAUAUUCCACAGGUGUCGGGAGAUACUGGAAGGAAGGAGACAGAAGAGCUCUACAGAGGAGGAAUGGAGGAGUGAGGGAAACAAAGGACAUGGUGCAUGAGAGAGCAACGUGCUUGGAACACUGGGAGAAAGACUUGUGAUGAGGCAAGGAACCAAGGAGGGCGCUGGUUCCCAGAAUGCUAUCGGAAGGCACAAAGCACUUCUUUUUGAUAGUCUAUCUUUGUGUUUUUAUUCUUAAAUUCAGUCACAGAAUUUCAGAGCGAGAUUAUUGUCAAUCAUGUUUCAUUCUUCACAAUCCAGAGCAAAGGCAACACCUCCUCUGCAGGCUGCUGUGUGCUCUCUAUGAUCACUCACAAUGCUGCAUCUCCCACAAGUCACUUCUCUAUCGUCCUGUUCUUAGCAGCUUUCUUCUUUACGUCCGUGUCAUUAUGGAACAGCACUCAGCCCACAGUUUUUUAAUUGUGGGUUUUCUUGUGUGUUUCCCCAUUAUAUUGUACAAAGGCUUGGUUAUUACUCUUUCUUUUAUUCUGUUUGGAAUCCAGCGUAUCAUAGUCCAUCUCCUAAAAGCAGUGCUAGAAGGCACAGCUAUGAAAAACUCUUCAUCACACUGUUUUUAAAAAUUAUAUAAGCCAGGGAAGAAACAUAUUACUUCUUUCAGGCAAACUCCAAAGUUUCCUGCUUGGAGCAGAUUGACAGUGUUUAUUUCAAGCGAGGCAUCCCCAUCCGUCCUUUCCCCUAGAGCAGUGGUUCUCAACCUUCCUAAUGCUGUGACCCUUUAAUACAGUCCCUCGUGUUGUGGUGACCCCAACCAUAAAAAUCAUUUCAUUGCUGCUUCAUAACUGUAAUUUUGCUACUGUUAUGAAUCAUGAUAUAAGUAUCUGAUGUGCAGGAUAUCUGCUAUGUGAUCCCUGUGAGAGGAUCUUUUGACCCCAGGGGGCUUUGUGACCCAUAGGUUGAGAAGCAUUACCCUAGAAGCCAUCUCAUUUUAAACAAGCCCUGUGUUACCUAGUGCAUGCCUUAAAUAAACCUUUGGUUUUAAAUUGAGACUAAGCAACAUUUUGAAAGCAUGUUUUUAUAACAUACUUUAAUAUUUGCCUUUGUCCAAUCAAAUUCUUAAUGGCCCCAAAAUCAAGAAAAUAAUAUGGUAAAGCAAAGGCCUGAAAGUUCACAUUUGAAUAGCUAAAAGCCACAUUAUUGAUUUAGAAAGAAUCCCUGUAUUGACACUUUCUGUUAUAUAAGGCUGUACUAAUAAAUACAACUUUUCAAAGACUGCUAUGGCAAAACCUCAAAUCAUACACAGUGGUGACUAAUGGUUUGCUUAUUGUUACUACUAGAUUGUUUUAGCACAAUUACUCCAGUAAAUGUUUUCUAAGAGCAUAUUAAAGCCCAGCCACUUAAAAUUAAAUUGAUAAAGUAAAUGCUGCUGUCUGCUUCAUC